rnacentral:rRNA from 1 species
UACGUAGGGUGCGAGCGUUAAUCGGAAUUACUGGGCGUAAAGCGUGCGCAGGCGGUGAUGUAAGACAGAUGUGAAAUCCCCGGGCUUAACCUGGGAACUGCAUUUGUGACUGCACAGCUGGAGUGCGGCAGAGGGGGAUGGAAUUCCGCGUGUAGCAGUGAAAUGCGUAGAUAUGCGGAGGAACACCGAUGGCGAAGGCAAUCCCCUGGGCCUGCACUGACGCUCAUGCACGAAAGCGUGGGGAGCAAACAGG